GCGCAUGAGCGGACGCUGCCUACGGGUGGCCGGGCGGGAUGUAACCGGCUGCUGAGCUGGCAGUUCUGUGUCGCUAGGCUUCUGCCCGGCCGCCGCCGCACAUAAGCUGCGAGGAGGAGCUUUACGACUUCCCGGUCUUCGGGGCCGGGCGCAGCAAGGGCCAGACUCUGCGCUAGCAGGCGCUGCGCGCCAACCGGCCGGCACCUGUCGCAGAAGGUGCAACCGAUCGCACUGUCGCGCAGAAGCUCCUCAAUGGCCAGCGCCAGCUGCAGCCCCGGCCGCCCACUCGCCUCAUCUGAGCCUGGGUGGAACAAUCCAAAGUUUUAAUCAGAGAAGGUGGUGUUCAGUUGCUGCUUACAAUAGUUGAUACCCCAGUAUUUGGAGAUGCAGUGGAUAACAGUAAUUGCUGGCAGCCUGCUAUCAAUUACAUUGAUAGUAAAUUUGAGGACUACCUAAAUGCAGAAUCGCAAGUGAACAGAUGUCAGAUGCCUGGUAACAGGGUGCAGUGUUGUUUAUACUUCAUUGCUCCUUCAGGACAUGGACCAUUACAUAACUGAAGACUCCCACCUUCAGGCAGGUUUGGGUAGUACACGUUUGUAACUACCUGGCAUUGCCUUUUGUUGA
rnacentral:lncRNA from 1 species